GCAGUGAGGAAUAUUGGUCAAUGGGCGCAAGCCUGAACCAGCCAUGCCGCGUGCAGGAUGAAGCAUCUAUGGUGUGUAAACUGCUUUUGUACGGGAAGAAACACCCCUUCGUGAAGGGGCUUGACGGUACCGUAAGAAUAAGGAUCGGCUAACUCCGUGCCAGCAGCCGCGGUAAUACGGAGGAUCCAAGCGUUAUCCGGAAUCAUUGGGUUUAAAGGGUCCGUAGGCGGUUUUGUAAGUCAGUGGUGAAAUCCGGCAGCUCAACUGUCGAACUGCCAUUGAUACUGCAGGACUUGAAUUACUGUGAAGUAACUAGAAUAUGUAGUGUAGCGGUGAAAUGCUUAGAUAUUACAUGGAAUACCAAUUGCGAAGGCAGGUUACUAACAUUAUAUUGACGCUGAUGGACGAAAGCGUGGGGAGCGAACAGGAUUAGA
rnacentral:rRNA from 1 species